CUCAAGAGCCAUACCCACCUGAACACACCCAAUCUCGUCUGAUCUUGGAAGCUAAGCAGGGUCGGGCCUGGUUAGUACUUGGAU
rnacentral:rRNA from 1 species